CCUACGGGAGGCAGCAGUGGGGAAUAUUGGACAAUGGGGGGAACCCUGAUCCAGCCAUGCCGCGUGUGUGAAGAAGGCCCUCGGGUUGUAAAGCACUUUCAGUGAGGAAGAACGCCUGGUGGUUAAUACCCAUCAGGAAAGACAUCACUCACAGAAGAAGCACCGGCUAACUCCGUGCCAGCAGCCGCGGUAAUACGGAGGGUGCGAGCGUUAAUCGGAAUUACUGGGCGUAAAGCGCGCGUAGGUGGCUUGAUAAGCCGGUUGUGAAAGCCCCGGGCUCAACCUGGGAACGACAUCCGGAACUGUCAAGCUAGAGUGCAGGGGAGGAAGGUAGAAUUCCCGGUGUAGCGGUGAAAUGCGUAGAGAUCGGGAGGAAUACCAGUGGCGAAGGCGGCCUUCUGGACUGACACUGACACUGAGGUGCGAAAGCGUGGGUAGCAAACAGGAUUAGAUAUCCUUGUAGUC
rnacentral:rRNA from 1 species